rnacentral:rRNA from 1 species
AUUCCGGUUGAUCCUGCCGGACCCGACUGCUAUUUGGGUGAGGAUAAGCCAUGCGAGUCGAAUGGGAUACCUAAAUUUCCCAUGGCGAACUGCUCAAUAACACAUGAUCAACUUGCCCUAUAGAGAAAAAUAACCUCGGGAAACUGAGGAUAAUGUUUCAUAGUUGAAAAGGCUUGGAAAAGUUUUUCGACCAAAGGGAUAAAAAAAAUGGUUUUUAUCCGCUAUAGGAUAGGAUCGUGCUCGAUUAUGGUCGUUGGUGAGGUAACGGCUCACCAAGCCGAUAAUCGAUAGGGGCCGUGAGAGCGGGAGCCCCGAGAUGGGUACUGAGACAGCGACCCAGGCCUUACGAGGCGCAGCAGGCGCGGAACCUCCGCAAUACACGAAAGUGUGACGGGGUUACCCAAAGUGUUCAAUAGAACUGUGGUAGGUGAGUAAUGUCCCCUACUAGAAAGGAGAGGGCAAGGCUGGUGCCAGCCGCCGCGGUAAAACCAGCUCUUCAAGUGGUCGGGAUAAUUAUUGGGCUUAAAGUGUCCGUAGCCGGUUUAGUAAGUU